ensembl:snRNA U6 U6 spliceosomal RNA
GUGCUCACUUUGGCAGCACAUAUACUAACAUUGGAACCAUACAGAGAAGAUUAGCAUGGUCCCUGCGCAAGGAUGACAUGCAAAUUCAUGAAACGUUCAGUAUUAAA